rnacentral:rRNA from 1 species
GACGAACGCUGGCGGCGUGCCUAAUACAUGCAAGUAGAACGCUGAAGGAGGAGCUUGCUUCUCUGGAUGAGUUGCGAACGGGUGAGUAACGCGUAGGUAACCUGCCUGGUAGCGGGGGAUAACUAUUGGAAACGAUAGCUAAUACCGCAUAAGAGUAGAUGUUGCAUGACAUUUGCUUAAAAGGUGCAAUUGCAUCACUACCAGAUGGACCUGCGUUGUAUUAGCUAGUUGGUGGGGUAACGGCUUACCAAGGCGACGAUACAUAGCCGACCUGAGAGGGUGAUCGGCCACACUGGGACUGAGACACGGCCCAGACUCCUACGGGAGGCAGCAGUAGGGAAUCUUCGGCAAUGGACGGAAGUCUGACCGAGCAACGCCGCGUGAGUGAAGGAGGUUUUCGGAUCGUAAAGCUCUGUUGUAAGAGAAGAACGAGUGUGAGAGUGGAAAGUUCACACUGUGACGGUAUCUUACCAGAAAGGGACGGCUAACUACGUG